rnacentral:rRNA from 1 species
UACAGAGGUCUCAAGCGUUGUUCGGAUUCAUUGGGCGUAAAGGGUGCGUAGGUGGCGCUGUAAGUCGGGUGUGAAAUUUCGGAGCUUAACUCCGAAACUGCAUUCGAUACUGCGGUGCUUGAGGACUGGAGAGGAGACUGGAAUUCAUGGUGUAGCAGUGAAAUGCGUAGAGAUCAUGAGGAAGACCAGUGGCAAAGGCGGGUCUCUGGACAGUUCCUGACACUGAGACACGAAGGCCAGGGGAGCAAACGGG